rnacentral:rRNA from 1 species
GUCGAACGAGAAUCUACUGAAAGAGUUUUCGGACGAUGGAAGUAGAGGAAAGUGGCGGACGGGUGAGUAACGCGUGAGGAACCUGCCUUGAAGAGGGGGACAACAGUUGGAAACGGCUGCUAAUACCGCAUGAAGCAUAGGGGUCGCAUGAUUCUUAUGCCAAAGAUUUAUCGCUUCAAGAUGGCCUCGCGUCUGAUUAGCUAGUUGGCGGGGUAACGGCCCACCAAGGCGACGAUCAGUAGCCGGACUGAGAGGUUGAACGGCCACAUUGGGACUGAGAUACGGCCCAGACUCCUACGGGAGGCAGCAGUGGGGAAUAUUGGGCAAUGGGCGCAAGCCUGACCCAGCAACGCCGCGUGAAGGAAGAAGGCUUUCGGGUUGUAAACUUCUUUUAAGAGGGAAGAGCAGAAGACGGUACCUCUAGAAUAAGCCACGGCUAACUACGUGCCAGCAGCCGCGGUAAUACGUAGGUGGCAAGCGUUGUCCGGAUUUACUGGGUGUAAAGGGCGUGCAGCCGGGUCUGCAAGUCAGAUGUGAAAUCCAUGGGCUCAACCCAUGAACUGCAUUUGAAACUGUAGAUCUUGAGUGUCGGAGGGGCAAUCGGAAUUCCUAGUGUAGCGGUGAAAUGCGUAGAUAUUAGGAGGAACACCAGUGGCGAAGGCGGAUUGCUGGACGAUAACUGACGGUGAGGCGCGAAAGUGUGGGGAGCAAACAGGAUUAGAUACCCUGGUAGUCCACACUGUAAACGAUGAAUACUAGGUGUGCGGGGACUGACCCCCUGCGUGCCGCA